GAGGCAGGUAGCCUAGUGGUUAGAGGCUAUGGUUAGAGGCAGGUAGCCUAGUGGUUAGAGGCAGGUAGCCUAGUGGUUAGAGACAGGUAGCCUAGUGGUUAGAGGCAGGUAGCCUAGUGGUUAGAGGCAGGUAGCCUAGUGGUUAGAGGCAGGUAGAGUAGUGGUUAGAGGCAGGUAGACUAGUGGUUAGAGGCAGGUAGCCUAGUGGUUAGAGGCAGGUAGCCUAGUGGUUAGAGGCAGGUAGAGUAGUGGUUAGAGGCAGGUAGACUAGUGGUUAGAGGCAAGUAGCCUAGUGGUUAGAGGCAGGUAGACUAGUGGUUAGAGCAUUGGGCCAGUAACCGAAAAGUUACUCGAUCAAAUCCCCCCUGAGCCGACAAGGUAAAAAUCUAUCAUUCUGCCCCUGAACAAGGCAGUUAACCCACUCUUCCCCCGGUAGGCCGUCAUUGUAAAUAAGAAUUAGUUCUUAACUGACUUGCCUAGUUAAAUAUAUAUAUAUAUAUAUAUAUAUAUAUAUAUAUAUAUUUUAAUACUGUCGCUCCCCACGGAUUAAACAAACUAGAGCUGAACUGUUUUCUCUAGUGUACCUACCUUUUUACUGAUCAGUAUUUUGUGUAAUUCUUUGCCGAAGCUGACUUUUUGAUCACCGCCUUUGUGUGCUUCUUGUGUGUGUUUUAAUAUAAUGUAUUUUAACAAACCAGUGCGUCUGUUACGUACGCAACUCUUACAUAGUGUCCCUUUACGCACGUUCCUGUAUGCUAUUUUUUUCAUGUUUCAUAUUAUUUCUCGUGUUUCCUCUGGACACUGACGUGAUAAUGUUGUAGAUAUGUUUUUUGUAUAUAGUUAUUUACCUGUCAUGAGACGUUUACCUCUAUUUCUAGAGCAAGAAGACUCGUAGUCGAAACGCGUUGCAGUUGUGUUUCCUGAUAUACUAGGUCGACUGCUCCUAUAAUAUAUAUUA
ensembl:lncRNA